GGUCUCACUAUGUUGCCCAGGAUGUUCUCAAACUCUUGGCCUCAAGCGAUCCUCUGCCUCAGUCUCCUAAAGUGUUGAGACUCCAAGCAUGAGCCAUCAUACUGGGCAAUUCAGUGAAGGUAGACUAUUAAGGCUCUCAUGUCAUCAAGGAUGGAGGCAAUGGGAUAAUGGAGAUUCUAGACAUUUGUUUCGUCACCAGCGAAAAUUAAAUGAAGACUCAGGAAUCACUACAGCUACAGGGAUGAGAAGGACAUUUCAGCAGCUACAGUGUGGUGGUGAGUUCCUGGCUACAUGGCUGCUUCUGUACAAGAGAGUGCUAAAGUCCUUUUGUAUUGUAUACGCUUAUGUGUGCAUAUGUAGGAGUGUGCAAAUUGGUGGGCUAUUUUUUUCAGUAUACGCAGAAGGAAGUCUUGUUAACCUGUAAACCCAACAUCUAAAAAAUGUCAGUGAAUACACUUUUGUUCAGGUCUCUGCUAUU
rnacentral:lncRNA from 1 species